rnacentral:rRNA from 1 species
UGAACAACUCUCAGCAACGGAUAUCUCGGCUCUUGCAUCGAUGAAGAACGCAGCGAAAUGCGAUAAGUGGUGUGAAUUGCAGGAUCCCGUGAACCAUCGAGUCUUUGAACGCAAGUUGCGCCCGAGGCCAUCAGGCCAAGGGCACGCCUGCCUGGGCAUUGCGA